GUCAGUGAUAGCUCUGAGAUUCGAAGCCGCCUUCGUUAACGAGGUCGCGAUCUAUACGAACAACUGCUACGGUAUAAUCUAACCAGAAGCUUGAAGCGGCUCAGUGGAUCUGAGCCGAGUCGCGAUGGCGACUAUAGAAGAAGAUGGUGUGGACAUCUUCCCUGAAGGCACGGCGCACUGCGCGAAUAUUUAUUCUCCGAGCGUCACUGACUCGACUCAAGUACGGCUGUUGCGGGCACGGAAUGAUAUUCGUCAGCGCUUCGGAAUUUGGCUGAACCUCCCCUGACCCAUUGGCUUCACGAGGCUCCGAACUACAGACAAGCCCCGCAUCGUGGGGCCCAUGACAACGGCGUACGUAACAGCUUUACUUGACCACGGCGACUUUAGCGAAGAUGGCUUCUAAUACACGUCAAGUGCGCAAUUCGGUUUAUAUUGGAUAUUCUACGUAGUUAUAUAAUCUCAAUAGAUCUGAUAUACGUAAGUGCGCAUUUAUAAAUACCAAAUAUACGUUACGUACGUUUCGCCUUGUGUUUCUCGGGGCACUAAGGCGCGGUAUCUUCUGUUUGGGCUCGCUGUAUAGUUCUCGAUCACGAAGAGUUUUGCCUUAUUGGGAAAAAGUUGAAUGCUGUAACAUCUAUCGAUAGGCUUAUUAGCGAUCCCUCGACGGUGGUAAAAAAGGUAAGUGACGGUGUACAAGGCACGAGUUAUGCGAACGGUAACAGAUUGGUUAUUUUUUAAAUGAAAAGUAGACAUAGUAGGGAGACAGAAGAUAAUAUAUCACUAAGCCGCGCCAAGACUUAACGUCUGCACGUUUUAUAUUUAUGUUGUUCUAUUCUCACAAAGCGAUGAGUACUAGUUACUAGUACUGGACUAAAUUAUCUAAAUAUUAAUUAAUUUUCUUGUCAAAUAAUUUGGGAACUGUCUUUUACCUAAACUAAAACUUAAUAGAUUGUAUAGUGAAAUAAUUCAUGCCAUGGCGAUUAAGCGUUUGCAACAUAUUUCAAUAGAGCAUUCAAAUUGUAAGUUGCACCCACACUAAACAUAUGUAACUUCGACCGACAUAGAUGCGCAUUUAUGGAAAUAAUAGUAAUUUUACAUGUUUAUGGUAUAUACAUCUCCCUGUGUGUAUUUCGAAGGCAUUUAUCUUAAUAUUACGACAACGGUUAACAGCAGCACGCACACAGGUGAAGAUUUUGUAUUAAUCUAUUAAUAUAGGAUAUAGAUGCUUACGUUUUCACAGUCGAAAGAACCGGUUGAGAGAUACUGUACAUCGCAUAUACAUCUGACCUUUAUACCUUUAUUGUUACCUGUAUAGUUGCAAUAGAAGGACGCUUACCACAAAAUAAAAUAUUAUAAAGAGAGUGACAUACUUCCUCCGAUUCUUUCGAUAGGUGUUAAUGCCUCACGCCAUAUUUCAGACGAAAUGUCUAAGGGAAAGAUUUGGGAAACGUGUUUUAAGAGAACGGAAUAUAUACUCUGGAUGAGAAUAAAUAAAUAAUGUGAUGGCAUAUUGGAUGCUUAAGAUGGUGCAAGUUAGCUGUAGUUGAAAAUGACUGUUGGAUCGACUAUUUUAUUUUUACAUGAUUGCGUUAAGUCCUUUUAUUAAGAGUCUAAAUGUUCGAAAAACUGUUUCAUUGACACCUUUGCUGUGACGUUAUGCAAUUUAUUUUGACCAAUCGAAUUAGACUAAAUUACGUGGUACUUGCACUUUACAAUUAAAAACACAUGUUUGUCUUAUUUACAAUUUAUUAUAUUUGACGUCAAGGAGAACUCGCAUAGCAACAAUUACGACAGACAUUUAAUGCGAAGAAGUAGCUCAUUCGCGAAACCCGAGACCGUUAAUGUUGGUAUUCAUCGGUAUGAGAGAUCUUAUUUAUGUAUUUUCAAGUACGAGCGAGGGGUAUCGCGUUAUAAGCUAUUUCUAAAGCAUAUAAGCAGUAGUUAGUCGUAGGUGACAUGAUUGGACGGACUAUUAUAAUUAUUCGCCAUAUUUACAUUUAUACACAAAUAUUUACCAAUAUACAUAUGUGUCGUAUUUUUGAGAUGUUUGUUCAUGAUUCAUGGCAGCCGCGAAAGCAAAACAGUCAUGAGCAAAUCGUGUUUUUUUAUACAUACAAAUACAAUGAGAAGUGGUAGGACGGAUACAGAGAGGGAUUUAUACAAUGACUCGAUGCUGCCAAUAAUGUUUGUAGGUCGAAGCGCGGACGGCUGUGUCGGACCAUUAUAUGAAUUACAUGCCCUCAGUGCGGAUCGUAUGAACAAAGCGAAACUCAAAAACCUCAAUAAAAGCAAUAAACUUUAAGUGUAUUUCUUUCGGAUUACUUUUACCAUUCAUAAUAUAUUAUGACAGCAACCUAGAAACUACCUCAUUGUGCUCACUAUUAGGUUUCGGGAUCUCCUCCACCACCACCCUGGUCAGUACUCCUUUUCACGGCUAUUUGGAGGCGAUCUUAGAACCUGGAUGCGCUUUAUAAAUAAACAUUAUUUUUCUAACGAUUGUCACUCCACUUACGACAACAACCGGAGUGAUACACGACUAGAGUCGUAUGAAUCGUUGAGUAGUUUUAAGAGUCAACGUAGUAUUCUAUAAACAAGCAAUAUUAUACAAAUUCAUAGCUUUUUUCGUAGUUUUAGUUUCCAAAAGUUUUCCAAGCACGACGCGGGCGCGUUUUUUUUUUCGACAUUCUGAUGAUUAUUGUCGAAUUCUUCUUACCUCACCGCUUCUAUAUAAAUAAAUUAACGAGAUAUAUUUUUAAUUUAUUUUCAAGCAGUGCCAGCGCCGUGGUUACGCAGUAAAUUAGCGAUGAUCAAAUAUUACGUGCCUUAAAGAGGAAAUAUGAUUUUAGAUAUUGCUUUGUGUAUGUAUGUGUACAAACAGCGUUUAGAAACGGUACACGAUGCAUUUAUUUAUGAAAAUAAACCAUCGUUUGUACACAGACAAUGCACACCGUUACUAGUAAGAGAUAAGGCGAAUAUUAUGAUAUGCUAUGCGAGUUCCUCUGCACUAGUCGAUAGCCGACUGACUGCGGACGUGACUUAUACCGCGAAUUUACUUUAUGGCACUUUUCGUUUUCACCAUCAUAAUCGAAAAUUAAAGUUAAUGUACCACCUAGGGCCGGACGAGAGCUUCUGAUAUUCUCGAUGUCACGAGGUCGAAUCUACUCAAGUAACAACUCUUACACCGUGUAAUCGAGGACAUUUAAAUCUCUCAGUACUAAUCGGAUAGCAGUAGUAUUACACUUUAAUGGUAUUCUCGAUGUUUGAUGCUUUUUACUCAAUGUGUAGAUCAAAUCUAUAUUUAACAUCUCGCAGCUGAUCCCUUGACAGUUUCGUAGGUUCUCCGGAGUACUUAGAAUUCAUUACGUUGCGCGGUUUAGGAUUCGUGCCUUAAUAUUAUAAUAGUGAAGGAAAAUAUUAUCAUCGAUUCGCGAUUCACCAUCCAGAGAGCCCGGAGACUUACCCAACUGUCAGUUAUAAUUUGGCUUUACAUUUAGCCUGUAGGCUUAACUGCGGCGAACCUUUGAGUAACGGAGCACAUGAUGGUCAAUUUAAAUAUUAACAUAUAAACACUUUGAGUUAUCUGAGCGACGUUUUGUUCACAUAUUGACAUAUUAAUUCAAUUGACAAAAAUAAUUUCAUGAUAAGUUCUUACGUGCGAUCAUAAGUUGAUUGUUUUAUCAAGUCGUUUGAAGUUAUUUAAUAUGAGUCUGACUUAAUACUAUCGGUUCGUCGGUGUCAUCUAACUGGAAGAACAGACAAUUUUAAAUCACUUCAGAUAGUUUUUCCUUAGUAUAGUUAUGUAAUGUCACAGUUUGAAUAAAUAUUUAGAAUGAAACAAAAAGACUAAUGAUGAAGCUUAAUACUUGUAGUUUCAGCUACUCAGUGUGGCAUGCAUUACGAAUGAUAUUUGCAACUCAUACGAAAACCGAACACUCCGAGAACAUCACUCAUUGCUAAAUUAAAACCGAUGUUGUUAAUUGUUUUAUAUGACGCGUUUAUUUUGAUUAUUUUAUUUCAACGGUGAUAUUCUUGCUGGUGUUUUCGAACGAUGAACUUUUUAUAUGUAGGCACCUGUUUUGAGCAACGAUUUUUGGAGUGAAAUUACGUAUAGGUGCUAAUGAGCAGAGCAAACGAUGGAGUCUUGACAUUAGAGUUCAUUUCCUUUAAAAUUAAUUUUGAUUACAUUCAGAUGAGUUUAAUAAAUAUUUUUAAGUUCGAUCCGACAGAAUAUUUUUCAACACUGACAAUUGAUCCUUUCUUAAGACUAAAUUUAAUAGUUUAUUUUUUGUAUUAAAUUAAUAAGAAAUGUAAUUCAUUGGCAACAUUGUUACGAAUUAUGUUAUUUGAUUGAAAUGUAUACGAUGUGUUAUUUACUUAAGUUAAGUCACACAAAUACUGUAAGAAUAUCAAUAACGCGUUCCGCUAUCACUGAUGUUAAGCACUUAUGUCGAUACCGACAGUAAUAUAGGAACGUUAUAUUCUUAUUCGCAUACAUAAUAAGGAUUGGAAAAUGUGAGCAAAGUAUCAGAACGAUUAGGAAUUCUAUAGAUAUCUUUUUUGAAAUAUUAUAAUAGAAAUGAAUAUGUAAUCUCAUAAUGUAAUGGUCGAGCAGCCCACGCUAGUGUUGUGUCAGCGAAAGGAGAUGGUGUCGCUGGAUGUUAGAAGAAAGAAUUUUUAGGGCUUAAGCCCUUUGUCGUGCGCGUCAGUUGCAUUAUGUUAUCUCUUGAUCAAUCAGGUCCCGACGGACUUGCAGGCGUUAAUGUGUUGCGACAGACCGUAUAGCAGGUGGCAUGUAGACCUAUACGAGAAUUCGUCGUUGUGAACUCAUGCAGUUCAUAUUAAAUAUCGACCUGAACCGUUUACAUCUACAUGUCACCUAAGUACCCAU